rnacentral:rRNA from 1 species
GGGGGAAAGAUUUAUCGGAGUUGGAUGAGCCCGCGUCUGAUUAGCUAGUUGGUGGGGUAAUGGCCUACCAAGGCGACGAUCAGUAGCUGGUCUGAGAGGAUGAUCAGCCACACUGGGACUGAGACACGGCCCAGACUCCUACGGGAGGCAGCAGUGGGGAAUAUUGGACAAUGGGCGCAAGCCUGAUCCAGCCAUGCCGCGUGAGUGAUGAAGGCCCUAGGGUUGUAAAGCUCUUUCAACGGUGAAAAUAAUGACGGUAGCCGUAGAAGAAGCCCCGGCUAACUUCGUGCCAGCAGCCGCGGUAAUACGAAGGGGGCUAGCGUUGUUCGGAAUUACUGGGCGUAAAGCGCACGUAGGCGGAUCGGUCAGUUAGGGGUGAAAUCCCGGGGCUCAACCCCGGAACUGCCUUUAAUACUGCUGGUCUAGAGUUCGAGAGAGGUGAGUGGAAUUCCGAGUGUAGAGGUGAAAUUCGUAGAUAUUCGGAGGAACACCAGUGGCGAAGGCGGCUCACUGGCUCGAUACUGACGCUGAGGUGCGAAAGCGUGGGGAG